rnacentral:tRNA from 1 species
ACCAGUUUAGUUUAAAAAAAACACCAAUUUGUGAUAUUGGAGAAAGAGCCAAAAACCUCUAACUGAUC